rfam:Danio rerio chromosome 14, GRCz11 reference primary assembly.
UGCCACAGCCAUGUCACCCUGCAGCCCAAGACCGUUUACUCACUGAAGCUAAGCAGGGCUGAGCCUGAUCAGUACCUGGAUGGAAGACCACUAGGGAACACUAGGUUGCUGUUGGAA